UACAGAGGUCUCAAGCGUUGUUCGGAUUCAUUGGGCGUAAAGGGUGCGUAGGUGGCGGGGCAAGUUUGGUGUGAAAUCCCGGGGCUCAACCCUGGAACUGCACUGAAUACUGCUUUGCUAGAGUACUGGAGAGGGAACUGGAAUUUACGGUGUAGCAGUGAAAUGCGUAGAUAUCGUAAGGAAGACCAGUGGCGAAGGCGAGUUCCUGGACAGUUACUGACACUGAGGCACGAAGGCCAGGGGGAGCAAAACGGG
rnacentral:rRNA from 1 species